UGGAGUACUAGGUUUCUGAUUUGUGAGUCACCACCGUUCGCGCUCUCUCUCUCUCCGCCCUCCUCCGUUUCACUCUCUCUCGGUCUCUCUCUGCAGCCGCCGUUCGCCGCCGCCCCUGCCUCCUCCGGUCGCCGGGGCCACGGCCUCACCGCCUUGGACAUCUCUGCGAUUUGCAAGCGCCAAGCAGGCAGCACAGCAUCAGUGCGCCGCCCAGCCCUCGCCGGCUCGCCCCCGACCGUCUCCUUCGAUUGACAGCUGCAGUGCGACUGCGCAGCGCCGCCCUCACCUAUUCUUUCCCGCGUCCCGCCUCCUUUGGCCUCGGUGCCUCCGUCCGGCGACUCCGCAGCAGCAGCCGUUUCCAACAAAAGUGCUGCAUUAAGGAGGAAUGGAGGCUCAGACUUCGCCCUAUCAAACCCGUUCACAUAGUCAAAACAUCGCGCCGCCGUCGUCUCCGUUUCCGUCUCCGUCACAGUCAUCAUCGGUGGCGCGACUCUGGAGACCAGCUGCUCAACGAAACCUGAGGAACCAGUGGUCGAAGCUCAAUUCUCUCCUCCAUGAUUGGCGCUCUGCCGUCUCUGCCGGCCGCUCUCACGCCACCGCAAUUGUCAACUCCUAUCUCUCUCAGAAGUAUAUGGACGGAAUGGAGUUUGGUGUUUUGAGUGACAUGGCUAAUAUUCGAAAGAAAGCUUUCAACAAGUUGUUCAGACAGCAGGAGCUUGAUAGAGGCAAACUAUUGAAAUCUUACAGAGAUAUGGUUGGAGUUCUGACUGAUAUGGUUAAGAUAUGUAAAUCUAUGAGGUGUUAUUUAAGAGGGACAAGCAAUAGUCCACUGGCUCAGUUUUCUUUCUCUUCUGAAGAUGGCAGUGACAGCGGUGACUGUGGUGGAAUCCCUGUUUUUACAUUUUGUUCAAUUGCUUCUUUUGAAGCGUUAGCAUUAGAGAUUGCCCGAAUGUUCAUAUCAGAGUUGAAUUUGAAGCGGUUGCUUGUAGUAGAAUUCCUGUCCAUCUAUGAUGAAAAAGUGGCCGAAGCCAUGGGAUUGCAAUGGUCUGACGAACUCUAUGAGGGAGAAUUUGAUGAUUUGGCUACAUUGAACUUGUACUCAGCAGAAACUCAGAAACCAAAUCUUCCAUCACUUAGACAUUGCAACUCUAGUACUUCAAACAUGCAAUCCAAACGGCAGCAAGAUAGCAAUGUUUUACAGGUGUUGAUAUAUCCAUGCUGAUCCAAAAGGAUGCAACCUUAUUCUUAAUUAUCCGUCUCUGAUAUACAGAUUUACAUAACAACCUGGUUGGCAGAGGUGAACAUAGAUAAAUGCAGGGUGGAGGAGAUAUUUGGUAUCGCAGGAGGGGAAAUGCAUGUCGACUUUCUUGAAAUAUCUGGUUGAUAAAUUCGAUUUCUAUUAGCCUGCCAACUACCGCUGGUUUAUGCAAGAAUGCAAGAGCUGGUUCAUCUGAUUAUUCUCUUGUUAAUAGCAUCAUAUGCGAUAUGUGACACGAUUAAAAUUUAUAUUUAGGGGUGCUUAUUUUGCAUGAUUGAUAAGAUAUAUGAUUUUAUUUGUGAGAA